rnacentral:rRNA from 1 species
CCUACGGGAGGCAGCAGUAGGGAAUAUUGCUCAAUGGGGGAAACCCUGAAGCAGCAACGCCGCGUGGAGGAUGAAGGUUUUAGGAUUGUAAACUCCUUUUGUUAGAGAAGCUUAUGACGUUAUCUAACGAAUAAUCACCGGAUGACUCCGUGCCAGCAGCCGCGGUAAUGCGGCGGGUGCAAGCGUUACACGGAAUCACUGGGCGUAAAGAGUGCGUAGGCGGGGUAAUAAGUCAGAUGUGAAAUCCUGUAGCUUAACUACAGAACUGCAUUUGAAACUGUUACUCUGGAGUGUGGGAGAGGUAGGUGGAAUGCGUGGUGUAGGGGUGAAAUGCGUAGAGAUCAAGAGGAAUACUCAUUGCGAAGGCGACCUGCUGGAACAUAACUGACGCUGAUGCACGAAAGCGUGGGGAGCAAACAGGAUUAGAUACCCGUGUAGUC